CUCUGGCCUGGCCCUCAGCUGGUUAAAAUCUUACUUAUCUGACAGAACUCAGUGUGUCUCUUGUAAUAACACUGUAUCAGCCUUUUCUGAUGUGAAAUAUGGAGUACCCAGGGUUCUGUUCUUGGCCCUCUGCUUUUCUCUCUAUAUAUUUCUCCUCUUGGCCAAAUUAUUCGGAGUCAUGGAAUUAAUUUUCACUGUUAUGCUGAUGAUACCUGGCUAUAUGUGCCUAUAAAGGCUGACAAUGCCUCUCAAAUUAGGGAAUUAGAGAUCUGCUUGUCAUCUGUUAAAAGCUGGAUGUCUCAAAACUUCCUGCUUCUUAACUCAGACAAAACUGAAAUGCUGGUUAUUGUCCCGGAGCGAUAUAGACACCAGUUCGAUCAAGUAUCUAUAUCCCUUGACAACUGUGUUAUCUCUCAAAGUACAACAGCCAAAAAUCUUGGCGUCACAUUUGAUCCUGCUCUUUCCUUCGAUCAGCAUAUUAAAGACAUUACAAGGACCGCCUUUUUUUACCUACGUAAUAUAGCUAGGAUUCUGUCUUUUCUUUCCAUGGCAGACGCUGAAAGUCUGCAAAAAUGCUGCAGCUAGAAUGCUAACCAAAUCGAGAAGGUUUGACCAUAUUACCCCAGUUUUAGCCUCCCUUCAUUGGCUCCCUAUACAUGUUAGAUCAGACUUUAAAGUUCUCUUAAUGACUUAUAAAAUUCUAAAUGGGCUAGCCCCCUCAUACCUGUCUGAUCUUCUUAACCCUUAUAUUCCCUCCCGUGCUCUGCGUUCUCAGAGUGCAGGGCUGCUGUCUGUCCCCAGAGUUAAAAAGAAGUCAGCAGGCUGCAGGGUCUUCUCCUAUUGGGCCCCCUUCCUCUGGAACAGCGUCUCGAGAUAACUUCUGUUGUGAAUUGGCGCUAUAUAAAUAAAAUUUGACUUGACUUGACUUGACUUGGAACAACCUUCCUAUUGAUAUUAGACAGGCUGACUCAGUUGAGGCCUUUAAAUCCAAACUAAAAACUCAUCUUUAUGCCUUAACUUUUAACUAGCACAUUAUUCUGGUUCCUAUUUCAGGAUACCAUUUUUCCCUCGGCGGGUUGGGUCAGUCUCAAUGCAUCAGUUAAGAUUAAUAGUUAGUAAAUGUUGUCCAUGAUGUCCUGCCGACGAGAUUACUAUUAACUGUCUUAAUAUCACUGCAUCACUUUAACUGUGUGUUCUUCCCUCAAGCACAUUAGUACCCAGGCUGUGCUUCUCUCUCUCUCUCUUCUACUGUCUCUUACUGCAGGGUUCUGCCUCCAGAGCUGGAGAGUCUCCUGCUGCUCCCAUGAUCCAGCUCAACCCAUGAUGCGACAAUAAUUAAAACAUUUACUAGUGUUAUUGAUAGUGUUAGUGCUAUUAAUGUACCAUUGUUUGUCAUUAUUAUUCCUUUAGCUGUAAUAAUAAUUAUUACUAUUAUUAUUAUUAUUACUAUUAUUACUACUACUACUACACUUUGACUUAGUCUGUGUAUCUGCAAUGUUGUCUUUCUCCUACCCCAUUCCCCCACUCCCCUCUCUUUCUGUCUAAACCCAACCGGUCGAGGCAGAUGGCUGCCCACCUUGAGUCUGGUUCUGCUCGAGGUUUCUGCCUCUUAAAAGGAAGUUUUUCCUUGCCACAGUCGCCUAGUGCUUGCUCAUGGUGGGAUCUGUUGGGUUUUUCUCUGUAAAUCUUAUAAGAUAAAGAGUACGGUCUAGACCUGCUCUAUAUGUACAGCGUCUCGAGAUAACUUCUGUUGUGAAUUGGCGCUAUAUAAAUAAAAUUUGACUUGACUUGA